GCUAGGCACGGUGGUGCGUGCCUGUAAUCCCAGCUACUUGGAUGGCUGAGCCCGAAGGAUCACUUGAGUCCAGGAGUUCUGUGCUGCAGUGCACUAUGCUGAUCCUGUGUCUCUACUAACUUAGGCAUCAAGAUGGUGACCUCCAGGGAUUGGGGGGAACAUCAGGUUCCCUAAGGAGGGGUGAAUUGACCCAGGUCAGAAAGGAGAAGGUGAAGAUUGUCUUUUGGGAUUGGAGGUGUGCUCAAGUGAUAAAGUGCCAGGCACUGAAUGAAUGCAUCAGAUAUAGAGUUCAA
rfam:Dipodomys ordii contig_26621, whole genome shotgun sequence.